GAUGAACGCUAGCUACAGGCUUAACACAUGCAAGUCGAGGGGAAACGACAUCGAAAGCUUGCUUUUGAUGGGCGUCGACCGGCGCACGGGUGAGUAACGCGUAUCCAACCUGCCCAUCACUUGGGAAUAACCUUGCGAAAGUAAGACUAAUACCCAAUGAUAUCCCACGAAGGCAUCGGAAUGGGAUUAAAGAUUUAUCGGUGAUGGAUGGGGAUGCGUCUGAUUAGCUUGUUGGCGGGGUAACGGCCCACCAAGGCAACGAUCAGUAGGGGUUCUGAGGGGAAGGUCCCCCACAUUGGAACUGAGACACGGUCCAAACUCCUACGGGAGGCAGCAGUGAGGAAUAUUGGUCAAUGGGCGAGAGCCUGAACCAGCCAAGUAGCGUGCAGGAAGACGGCCCUAUGGGUUGUAAACUGCUUUUAUAAGGGAAUAAAGUGGGUCACGUGUGACUUUUUGCAUGUACCUUAUGAAUAAGGACCGGCUAAUUCCGUG
rnacentral:rRNA from 1 species